GACGAACGCUGGCGGCGUGCUUAACGCAUGCAAGUCGAACGGAAAGGCCCUGCUUUUGUGGGGUGCUCGAGUGGCGAACGGGUGAGUAACACGUGAGUAACCUGCCCUUGACUUUGGGAUAACUUCAGGAAACUGGGGCUAAUACCGGAUAGGAGCUCCUGCUGCAUGGUGGGGGUUGGAAAGUUUCGGCGGUUGGGGAUGGACUCGCGGCUUAUCAGCUUGUUGGUGGGGUAGUGGCUUACCAAGGCUUUGACGGGUAGCCGGCCUGAGAGGGUGACCGGCCACAUUGGGACUGAGAUACGGCCCAGACUCCUACGGGAGGCAGCAGUGGGGAAUAUUGCACAAUGGGCGGAAGCCUGAUGCAGCAACGCCGCGUGCGGGAUGACGGCCUUCGGGUUGUAACCGCUUUCGCCUGUGACGAAGCGUGAGUGACGGUAAUGGGUAAAGAAGCACCGGCUAACUACGUG
rnacentral:rRNA from 1 species